UACGUCGGGGGCAAGCGUUGUCCGGAAUCAUUGGGCGUAAAGAGCGUGUAGGCGGCCAGGUAGGUCUGCUGUGAAAACUCGAGGCUCAACCUCGAGAUGUCGGCGGAAACCAUCUGGCUAGAGUCCGGAAGAGGAGAGUGGAAUUCCUGGUGUAGCGGUGAAAUGCGCAGAUAUCAGGAAGAACACCCGUGGCGAAGGCGGCUCUCUGGGACGGUACUGACGCUGAGACGCGAAAGCGUGGGGAGCGAACAGG
rnacentral:rRNA from 1 species